rnacentral:rRNA from 1 species
AUGCUAACUCUAGCUCAUACUCCUUCAUUUCCACCAAACCUCCUUCACCUAAAAACUAAAGCAUUCUGCAUACUUAGUAUUGGCGAUAGAAAAGUCAACCCGACGCAAUAGAGAUUCCUGUACCGUAAGGGAAAGUUGAAAUAAUAAUGAAAAUUUAAGCAAAGAACAGCAAAGACUAACCCUUGUACCUUUUGCAUCAUGAUUUAGCAAGAAUAACCAAGCACAAUGAACUUUAGCUUGACACCCCGAAACCCAUGCGAGCUACUUGCGAGCAGCUAUUAUUGAGCGAACCCGUCUCUGUUGCAAAAGAGUGGGACGACUCGCUAGUAGAGGUGAAAAGCCAAACGAGCUGGGUGAUAGCUGGUUGCCUGUGAAACGAAUCUUAGUUCACCCCUAAACCUUUCCCCCAGGACCACAUAACUAACCCUAAUGAAACAUUUAGGAGUAAUUUAAAGGAGGAACAGCUCCUUUAAACCAGGCUACAACCUACACUAGAGGGUAAUACACUCCUUCACUUACAUUAUGUGGGCCUUCAAGCAGCCAUCAAUCAAGAGUGCGUCACAGCUCGCCCAAUAAAAAUAACUACACUCUAUGAACCCCUUACCACCAACAGGCUAACCUAUAAUUAUAGGAGAAUUAAUGCUAAAAUAAGUAAUUUGAAGGAAAAUCCUUCUCUCAGGCGCAAGCUUACACACUAAUUAUUAACAGUCUCAACUUAUAUUACCUCAACAAGACCAUAUAUUUCACCAACCUGUUACCCCAACCCAGGAGCGCCAAGCCAGAGAGAUUCAAACCUGCAAAAGGAACUAGGCAAACCUGAGGCCCGACUGUUUACCAAAAACAUAGCCUUCAGCUCAAACAAGUAUUGAAGGUGAUGCCUGCCCAGUGACUGAUGUUUAACGGCCGCGGUAUCCUAACCGUGCGAAGGUAGCGCAAUCAAUUGUCUCAUAAAUCGAGACUUGUAUGAAUGGCUAAACGAGGUCUUAACUGUCUCUUGCAGGCAAUCAAUGAAAUUGAUCUUCCUGUGCAAAAGCAGGAAUAAAUCCAUAAGACGAGAAGACCCUGUGGAACUUAAAAAUCAAGGACCAAUGCAACUCCCCUCCAACCUACUAGGCCUAUUCCAUCGCACACACUUCAUGGUCCAAAUUUUUCGGUUGGGGCGACCUUGGAGAACAAACAAACCUCCAAAAUACAAGGCCACACUCCUUUACUUAGAGCAUUCCUCUCAAAGUACUAACAGUGAUUAGACCCAAUACAAUUGAUUAAUGAACCAAGCUACCCCAGGGAUAACAGCGCUAUCUCCUUCAAGAGCCCCUAUCGACAAGGAGGUUUACGACCUCGAUGUUGGAUCAGGACAUCCUAAUGGUGCAGCCGCUAUUAAGGGUUCGUUUGUUCAACGAUUAACAGUCCUACGUGAUCUGAGUUCAGACCGGAGCAAUCCAGGUCGGUUUCUAUCUAUGUAAUACUGCCUCUAGUACGAAAGGACCGAAGCAGUGGGGCCAAUAUCUCCCAUACGCCCCCUCUCUAAUUAGUGCAACCAACUCAACUAACAAGAAAACACACUAUUAAUAUCCUAGAGAAGGAUAG